rnacentral:rRNA from 1 species
GACGAACGCUGGCGGCGCGCCUAACACAUGCAAGUCGAGCGGGGUUGAAGCGAGGGGUAACUCGAGUUUCUACCUAGUGGCGCACGGGUGAGUAACACGUAGGCAACCUACCCUUCAGUGGGGGACAACAGAGGGAAACUUCUGCUAAUACCGCAUACGGCCUUGUACUGGGAUGUACGAGGAGAAAGGAUUUAUUCGCUGAGGGAUGGGCCUGCGGCCUAUCAGGUAGUUGGUGGGGUAAAGGCCUACCAAGCCUGCGACGGGUAGCCGGACUGAGAGGUCGACCGGCCACACUGGAACUGAGACACGGUCCAGACUCCUACGGGAGGCAGCAGUGGGGAAUAUUGCACAAUGGGGGAAACCCUGAUGCAGCGACGCCGCGUGGAGGAUGACGGCC